rnacentral:lncRNA from 1 species
CCAGGGUGUGGGGGACAUGAGAGGCCACCCAGAAUGCAUCCAUUUAAUAGAAGUUUCCAGCGCUGACCGUACAAACCAGUAAGGAACCAGCAGCAAAGGACGCAGGGUGGCGCUCCUGAUGUCAGCCGCCGCCCGGGAUCUCGCCUUGCUGAGAAGAUCCUCUCUCUCCACGUGGCCCAGCCCGGAGGCUGAAUUGUGCUUCACAAGUCAGGGGUUUAGAAAAUGAGGCUUUGCUUUAAAAGGUAAGUGUAAAAUGGUCCAUGGAAAUGCACCAUCUUCCGCCCAAUGCCCCCUAGAUGCAGUGGCUGGGACAGUUCAGUGUGAAGUAGAGGAAAUGGCGUCUUCUGCUUCCUUCAGAAAGGUCCUCGGCGACAGGGCCCUCUGGGGGACCUGGGGACGCACCCCUCUCACAUGCCCGGCUUCCCCGGGCCCUUUGCUGCUUCUAACUUCCAGAAGGGGCUUGGGACAGCAAACAGCCCAGGGUCCCCCUCACCCACCCCAGAGUGCAGAACAGCAGCCCUGGCCCCCAGCCCUUGGCUGCAAGGAAGCGAGGCUGCCUGGCCGUGAACGCUCAGGCCGGCUCUGAGUUGGGUGUGGCCCACGCGGGGCUCCUG